rnacentral:rRNA from 1 species
UACGUAGGGGGGCAAGCGUUGUCCGGAAUCAUUGGGCGUAAAGCGCGUGUAGGCGGCCCGGUAAGUCCGCUGUGAAAGUCGGGGGCUCAACCCUCGAAAGCCGGUGGAUACUGUCGGGCUAGAGUGCGGAAGAGGCGAGUGGAAUUCCUGGUGUAGCGGUGAAAUGCGCAGAUAUCAGGAGGAACACCAAUUGCGAAGGCAGCUCGCUGGGACGUUACUGACGCUGAGACGCGAAAGCGUGGGGAGCAAACAGG